UACGGGGGGGGUAAGCGUUGUUCGGAAUUACUGGGCGUAAAGGGCGCGUAUGCGGCCCACUAAGUCGGACGUGAAAUCCCUCAGCUUAACUGGGGAACUGCGUCCGAUACUGGAUGGCUUGGAUUUGGGAGAGGGAUGCGGAAUUCCAGGUGUAGCGGUGAAAUGCGUAGAUAUCUGGAGGAACACCGGUGGCGAAGGCGGCAUCCUGGACCAAUAUUGACGCUGAGGAGCGAAAGCCAGGGGAGCAAACGGG
rnacentral:rRNA from 1 species